rnacentral:rRNA from 1 species
CUACGGGACGCUGCAGUGGGGAAUUUUGGACAAUGGGGGCAACCCUGAUCCAGCAAUGCCGCGUGAGUGAAGAAGGCCUUCGGGUUGUAAAGCUCUUUUGUCAGGGAAGAAACACCGGCUCUAACACAGUCCGGGAAUGACGGUACCUGAAGAAUAAGCACCGGCUAACUACGUGCCAGCAGCCGCGGUAAUACGUAGGGUGCGAGCGUUAAUCGGAAUUACUGGGCAUAAAGCGUGCGCAGGCGGUUAUACAAGACAGGCGUGAAAUCCCCGGGCUUAACCUGGGAAUGGCGCCUGUGACUGUAUAGCUAGAGUGUGUCAGAGGGGGGUAGAAUUCCACGUGUAGCAGUGAAAUGCGUAGAUAUGUGGAGGAAUACCAAUGGCGAAGGCAGCCCCCUGGGAUAACACUGACGCUCAUGCACGAAAGCGUGGGGAGCAAACAGGAUUAGAUACCCGUGUAGUC